rnacentral:lncRNA from 1 species
UCAUCGACCAAAAUUCAGGAUAAAGUUUCAAAAAUUUUGUAAAAAAAAAAAAAACAUUUUAUUAUAGUUGAUUCUUGGGAUUUUAAUUUUCUUCCUAUCUCGUAAAAAGAAAGUGUCAGAUUUUUUCUUCAAAAAAGUCAAGUAAGCAAUUAAUUUAGUGGGGCUAGUGGGUCAACCUUUAGAAUUAAUUAGGCAUGAGAAAGCAGCUGCUAACUAGAAACCACAUAACGCAAAUAGCAAACCAAACUUGGCUCAACCAUGAAUUUCCAGCCUACGUAUUUAAUUAGGACCUUUACAUGAAGGGUAAUAUUAAUGUCAUCUCCACUUCAAAUUUAGUCUUUAUUAUAACAUUUAAACUAAAUAUAUACGCACGCAUAUUAUAUAAUCCCAAGAGAAUUAUUUGUUCAUCUGGUAGGAAGGCAUUGAAGAGAGAGAGAAUGGGAAAUUGCUUGAGGAGCAGCCAUGGAUGUACGGUGCACCCAGUGGAGCAAGAUGGGAAAGAGAGCAGCUUCAGGGCAGCAGGAAAGAAUAAGGUGCGAAUCAAAGUAAGAAUGAGUAAGAAGCAAUUGGAGGAGUUCAUCGCAGAGGUUAAUUUUAGCAAAGGUACUUCAGAGCUUGGCAGGGUUAUAUAUCAACACUGCUUGGAAGGUAGGCUAAGUGCCCGUGUUAUUGGCCGGGAGGCUCUCCAGAUGCCGUUAACUUCCAUGAACGAAGAAGAAACAGAAGAUCGUGUCAAUCCUCCCACAGAAAUUACAGGUAGAACUGGGUAUUAACUAUUAAGAUGAAGAGAAACAUAUACAUAUAUACAUAUAUAUAUAUAUAUAUAUAUAUACACAUAUAUGAGUAUAUAUCUACCUGCAUGUGUGUACUUUGGUGCCACUUUUAUUGUGCUUUUUCCUCUUUUAUCAGUGUUACCCUGGUGUUUCCAUUUAACCAAGUUAAAAAGAGAAUUUUGUUCCAUUACAUCACUAAUUACCUAAUUAUAUGCUAAUUACUUAGCAUCAUAUACAAACACAUUAUUUUCAUCUAUCUGUUUAUAUUCCAUUGUAUCUGCAAUUGUUUUACGAUUCUUACCUUAAAAUUUUUUGAAGUGUCCUAAACAAACUUUAAAUUGAAAGAAUUCAAUUCUGGUAUUUAACUUGAGGUGAAAAAAUUAAGGGAGUGAGUGAAAUAGGUGAGAGAGUGUUAUUUAUUAAUCUUUUAUUGUAGGUUUUCACAAUGUUUGUACAUGAUAAUAUAAGAUUCCAUAUAAAAUAUCCCAAAGAAUGCUUAAAAGGCUUAAUCAAGCGAUGAGAGAUGUAACAUUUUUUUUACCGCAUUAUUACCUCAACACUGAACUAUAGAAAUCUUCUUACUCAAAAUUUUUGUUCUCAAAUUUAUGAAUAUGUUUCUUUUUUUUUCACAGGAACAGAAGUUUCUUCUGUGUUGUUUAGGCAAUUACCACAAAAAAGAUAAUUACAAAAUGUUAAUCAUGCCUUCAGAUUUUUGAAAAUUACUUAGAUGAAGGCAAUCUUAUUCUCUCAAUUUAAACUAUUAGGAUUUCUUCUCUAAUUUUUUUUAAUUGAAAUAGAGAUAUCAAAUUAAAUCAUUGCUUUCAAUCACCGUUUAUGUCUGGUAUUGUGGCUAAUUUAACAUUCGGUACCAUGAAUAUUAUGUAUAUCAUGUAUAUAUAUAUAUAUAUAUAUAUGUAUGUAUGUAAUUAUGUGCUUGUAAAAUUGCAAAAACUUAUGAUGAAGUAUGGGCCCAUUCUCCUCCUAAUGCUCCGAUGAUGAAAGCUGACUUAACUGGGCUUCGGUCCGUUAUGGACUCAUGCUUGGUAAGGCCCAUAUAAUAAUUAAACUUUUCUAAUCUCUCAAAUUGCGUUCAAAUUUAUCCCAACUUUUCAAGCAAGAUCAUUACACUUUUAUUGGGAAUAAAUUUUUUUGUAGGCGAAUCUUGAACCCUUGCAUUUUAGGAAUUUUCUCCUUGUGUUGUACAUUUAUGUUUUUCUUAGUCACUCAUUCUUUCCACAAAUGAUAAUGAUUAAUAAUAUUGACAAGGACGAGACUAAAAGGAACGUAUGAACUUAUUUGAUAAGAUGAAAUGGCCUCAUAUAUUUUACAUUUUCUACCAAUGUGGAUAAAUGGUAGCUUUGAGUUUAAUUCAAUUUAAAGAUUAUGGCUCUAAUAUUCAAGUUAGUAAAAAAAACAAAAUGUGGGAGGUGUAAAUGAAUUAGAUUUUAUGUUAAAAAAACAAAAAAAGAGAGAAUAUUCUCUUGUUCUUCUCGUAUGUCAACUUUAUAUAUGUAAGUUUAUGUUAAUUGUA